rnacentral:rRNA from 1 species
AACAAACGCUGGCGGCGUGCCUAAUACAUGCAAGUCGAACGGGGAAAGCUUUCGGGUGAGUACUAGUGGCGCACGGGUGAGUAACGCGUGGAUAAUCUGCCUUAGAGUGGGGGAUAACUAGUCGAAAGAUUAGCUAAUACCGCAUAAGACCACAAGAACUGCGGUUCAAGAGGUCAAAGGUUUUUCGCUCUAAGAUGAGUCCGCGUAAGAUUAGCUAGUUGGUGAGGUAACGGCUCACCAAGGCAACGAUCUUUAACUGGUCUGAGAGGAUGAUCAGUCACGCUGGAACUGAGACACGGUCCAGACUCCUACGGGGGGCAGCAGUAGGGAAUAUUGCACAAUGGAGGAAACUCUGAUGCAGCGACGCCGCGUGAGUGAUGAAGCCCUUCGGGUCGUAAAGCUCUGUCGCAGGGGAAUAACACAAUGAAUGUACCCUGUAAGAAAGGAUCGGCUAACUUCGUGCCAGCCGCCGCAGUAAAAC